AUCAAAACUGCACUAAAACACAACACAAAGAAAGCAAAUUUUAAUCAGUUCAACAACAAGAUAAUCGAUAAAAAACUAAAGAAAGUUUAAACGGGAAGCAUAAAAAAAAACCACACACCUGGGAUGCAAGAGAGAAAAAGGAGAGGACGAAGACAAUGACGUUAUGAGAAACGACAAUGCAAUGCAGCAAGAGAUAAAAAGUAGAGGUGCGCAAGCGAGUAAAAGAAGAGGAGAAGCAGAGAAAAAGGAGAAGAGAUGAAGACGCGAUCAAAAACUGAAUGUUGAGAAGAGUCCGCGGUCUAUUUAAAAUGAAAUGGGGCGUCGGUUGCUCCAGAAACCGACGUCUAGGAAGCUGAAAAGAUUGACGUUUUGGUUUCCUGUCAGGGAAGUUCACGUCGGUGCCC
rnacentral:lncRNA from 1 species